UUAAACCGUCAGUAUAUACCUAUAGUCUCAAUAUACCUGGCGAAUUGCCAAUACGAAGCUAAAGUGACCAGGGUUAAAAUGUAAAUAUGUUAAAAGAGUAUUUUAUAGAAUUUAAAUAGUUUCAUUGUUAUUGAUAUCUGUAUUAAUAUAGGGAGGUGACCAUUCUACAUUGAUCCAGUGCCUUUUUAUGGGAUUCGAAACUGUGACUGUGAGAUGUAUGAGAGUUUGACUUCUAGGCGGGCAAUUCUACUUUCACUUUAAACGGAUGGCAGGUGCCUGAGUGUAUCUCGACCCAUUUCCAGGCUAGCAUCAGAUGUCAUGAUGGACCUUUAAAAUCUUUCACAUGUGUGCUUUCAAGAACCAUAUACAUUAUUUUUGAAAAUUGGUUGCCAUGGUAAUAAAAUCUGAAAAUUAAAA